rfam:Larimichthys crocea isolate SSNF unplaced genomic scaffold scaffold23, whole genome shotgun sequence.
ACCAGGAUGGCCGAGUGGUUAAGGCAUUGCACUCAAGAUGCAAUGGAUUCAAAUCCUCGUGGGUUCAAAUCCCACUCCUGGUA